rnacentral:rRNA from 1 species
CCUACGGGAGGCAGCAGUGAGGAAUAUUGGUCAAUGGGCUUACGCCUGAACCAGCCAAGUCGCGUGAGGGAAGACUGCCCUAUGGGUUGUAAACCUCUUUUGUCAGGGAGCAAUUGGCGCUACGUGUAGCGUUAUCGAGAGUACCUGAAGAAAAAGCAUCGGCAAACUCCGUGCCAGCAGCCGCGGUAUUACGGAGGAUGCGAGCGUGAUCCGGAUGUAUUGGGUUUAAGGGGUGCGUAGGCGGAAUGCAAUGUCAGCGGUAAAAUCGCGGGGCUAAACCUAGUUCCGCCGUUGAUACUGGCGUUCUUGAGUGGGAGAGAAGUAUGCGGAAUGCGUGGUGUAGCGGUGAAAUGCAUAGAUAUCACGCAGAACUCCGAUUGCGAAGGCAGCAUACCGGCGCCAAACUGACGCUGAAGCACGAAAGCGUGGGUAUCGAACAGGAUUAGAUACCCUAGUAGUC